rnacentral:lncRNA from 1 species
AUUUGAGAAUAAAAGUCUAUUUACACCAGGCACCUUACUGUUUUAGUAUGUUUGUUUACCCUACUCUCAUCUUACAUCUAUAGUAGCUCUAAGAGGGUUGUGGUUUAGUAUCCAAGGUUGUCUGGAAGUAAUAGAGGACCCUUGAGAGGCAACUGAUUUGUUAUGGAGUCACUUGUUUCUCUCUCAGGGUGACCAAGAGACACAAUCCAUUGGGGUCAAGGUAGCAGUUACAGUUUGCAGCAAGAAUGUUCCUCCCAAACUCAAGUAUUUGAAUACUUGGUCCCUAGUGGUCCCCAUGUUUUGGAAGUUGCAGAGCCUUUGGGGUGGGAGGCAAGGAAAGGGGCCUCUGGUCAUUCAUUGUUUUCCUCAUCACAGUUACUAAAUCCCUGACAGAAAUGACUAACUAGAGAAAAGAUUAACAUCGCUCACAGUUUGUCCUCUAACUACUGAGGCCAUUUUCUAGAAUCCCAGCAGCCCUAUACUUCCGGGAACUGUGGGCAUUCUGAUAAAAGUCUAUCUGGAGUCUGGAAGUUUGUGCUUGGGCCAGUAGGGACUGAGAACAGAAAAAACACGUGGGUAGCACUGUCAGGCUUCCUUCUAGUUGUUGUAAGGAGACAGCUGAGCUAGGAUCUCUGGGGCAAGCUCCUAAGUCCUGUGGACUAUAGCCCAGCUGGAAGGGUGCCAGGCCAUCAGUGGCCAUUUAGUCACAGUUGGUCACAUGUACUGAUGUGCUAGUGGGAGGCUGCCUGGAUUCUCCCUCGGGGUUCCUCCCAGGUGUGUCUUGAAGUUAUCAACAGUUGUUUUGUUAGUGACUCCUUUGCUUCAAAAACACAGUGAUGGCAUCUCUGCUGCUCUGGAUCCAAGAGAGUAAUAUCCCCAACUCCAGGCUUUCUCCUGGAGGAUGCAAGCAUAGACCGAGUGGAGAAAGCAGUCCACUGAGUUGCAUGUUCCCUAACAAGAGGGACACAUUCUGAGAAACAUGCUAUUAAGUAAGUUUGUCCUUGUGCAGACAUUCUGGGGUGUACUCAUGUACACUGGGUUGGGUAUGAUACCAUGGGGUGAUAUAGUCAUUAGAAACACAGUUACAUGUAGCUGAAACAUUUAGUUACUGGUUGAAACAUCAUUACACGCAAGCAUGUCUGUGCAGAAUUUCACACAGGCAGAAAGCGAAGGUCUGCAGCAAGAGGCAUUUAAAUAGCCUAAUUACCAGAGACAGGCCACUUACAAAUUCAAUUUUGUUUUUCCUCAUCAACUCAACAGACGCUUUUAUGUGUUUGAAAUUUAGGAGAAAGAGGUGGGUCCUUUCAUAUAAAAAGU